rnacentral:misc_RNA from 1 species
CGUCGCGAACUCCAGGGCAUGUUCUUCGCCAUCGGCCUCCUCAUUUCUCAAUUCAUCAGCGAGCUCAUCAAGAAAUCGGUCCAGCAAGCCCGACCCGAGACCUGCAUCUUCCUAGAGACCUGCGAUUCGCACGGUUGGCCAUCCAGCCACUCCCAGUACAUGUUCUUCUUCGCUGUCUACUUCACACUCUUGACCUUUAAAGGAAUUGGGUUAACGGAGGUUAAGAACAAGUGGGCGAGGUGUUUCCUGCCGUGGUUAUUGGCGGUUUUGACAAUGCACUCGAGGGUAUACUUGGGGUACCAUACAGUUCAGNCAGCAGGUGUUUUCUGGUGCUAUUUUGGGGAUUUUGCUUGGAGCUGUGUGGUUUUGGAUAGUGAAUUAUAAGCUCUUUUAUUUUUUUCCGGUGAUUGAGGAGAGUAGGUUG